UGAACGCUAGCGACAGGCUUAACACAUGCAAGGUCAGGGGUAACAGGGUAGCAAUACCGCUGACGACCGGCGCACGGGUGAGUAACGCGUAUGCAACCUGCCUAUAACUGGGGAAUAGCUCCCUGAAAAGGGGAAUUAACACCGCAUAACACUAUUGAUUCGCAUGGAUUAGUAGUUAAAUGUAGCGAUACAGGUUAUAGAUGGGCAUGCGUGACAUUAGCUAGUUGGUGAGGUAACGGCUCACCAAGGCUACGAUGUCUAGGGGUUCUGAGAGGAAGGUCCCCCACACUGGUACUGAGACACGGACCAGACUCCUACGGGAGGCAGCAGUGAGGAAUAUUGGUCAAUGGGCGCAAGCCUGAACCAGCCAUGUCGCGUGCAGGAAGACUGCCCUAUGGGUUGUAAACUGCUUUUAUAGUAGAAGAAACACAUCUACGUGUAGAUGUCUGCCAGUAUACUAUGAAUAAGCAUCGGCUAAUUCCGUG
rnacentral:rRNA from 1 species